rnacentral:rRNA from 1 species
AACGAACGCUGGCGGCAUGCCUAACACAUGCAAGUCGAACGAGACCUUCGGGUCUAGUGGCGCACGGGUGCGUAACGCGUGGGAACCUGCCCUUAGGUUCGGAAUAACUCCCCGAAAGGGGUGCUAAUACCGGAUAAUGUCUUCGGACCAAAGAUUUGUCGCCUUUGGAUGGGCCCGCGUUGGAUUAGCUAGUUGGUAGUGUAAAAGCCUACCAAGGCGACGAUCCAUAGCUGGUCUGAGAGGAUGAGCAGCCACACUGGGACUGAGACACGGCCCAGACUCCUACGGGAGGCAGCAGUGGGGAAUAUUGGACAAUGGGCGAAAGCCUGAUCCAGCAAUGCCGCGUGAGUGAUGAAGGCCUUAGGGUUGUAAAGCUCUUUUACCCGGGAUGAUAAUGACAGUACCGGGAGAAUAAGCUCCGGCUAACUCCGUG